rnacentral:misc_RNA from 1 species
UUAAUAAUUGUAGGUACUCAGAGGGACGAGGUAGCGACACGGUCUGGGGGCCGUCCGGCGGGCGCCCCCCGGGGGGGGCCGCAGGCUCCGCCCUGGAGCCGCCCGCCGAGGCAACGUUGUGGUAGGUUCGCGGUUGUCUGGGUCCUCUCGGCUCUUCAAUGAUCCCUCCGCUGGUUCACCAACGGAGA